GAUGAAGAACGCAGCGAAAUGCGAUAAGUAGUGUGAAUUGCAGAAUUCCGUGAAUCAUCGAAUCUUUGAACGCACAUUGCGCCUUCUGGUAUUCCGGAAGGCAUGCCUGUUCGAGAGUCAUUAACAACCGUUUCGAUCCCUUUCUUUCAGAAAUUACAAAGAGGAAAAGGGUUUGGUUAUGGUGGAGGAGGGAAAGGGAGCGUUUAGCCUGUAAAAAAGAGGCUGUGUUCCGCCUCCCCCCCAAAAUUGUACAGGCGGUCGUGUGCGCCCACGCAUCGAGGUGUUGUAAAAGCUGCCACGGCACUUUUCACCUGUGCAGUGCGAGAUUGGCCAGCCGGUUUAAAAACCCCUCCAAACAAUCAAAGGUUGACCUCGGAUCAGGUAGGGAUACCCGCUGAACUUAAGCAUAUCAAUAAGCGGAGGA
rnacentral:misc_RNA from 1 species